rnacentral:rRNA from 1 species
GACGAGGGAUCCUAGCGUUGUUCGGAAUCAUUGGGCGUAAAGGGUGCGUAGGUGGCUAUGUAAGUCAGUUGUGAAAUCCCCGGGCUCAACCCGGGAAGUGCUUCUGAUACUGCGUAGCUUGAAUAUUGGAGAGGUGAGUGGAAUUCCAGGUGUAGUGGUGAAAUACGUAGAUAUCUGGAGGAACACCGGCGGCGAAGGCGGCUCACUGGCCAUAUAUUGACACUGAAGCACGAAAGCGUGGGGAGCAAACAGGAUUAGAUACCCUGGUAGU